rnacentral:rRNA from 1 species
GACGAACGCUGGCGGCGUGCCUAAUACAUGCAAGUUGAGCGCUGAAGGUUGGUACUUGUACCAACUUGAUGAGCAGCGAACGUGUGAGUAACGCGUGGAACAUCUGCGUUUGAGCGGGGGACAACAUUGGGAAACGAAUUCUAAUACCACAUAAAAACUUUAAACACAAUGUUUAAGGUUAAAAGAUGCAAUUUCAUGACUGAAAGAGGGUCUCACGUUCUAUUAGGUAGUUGGUGAGGUAAAGGCUAAGGAAGGCGAUGAUACAUAUCCGACAUGAGAGGGUGAUCGGCGGGCCUGGGAAUGGGAACCGGCACAAAGUCCUAAGGGAGGCAGCAGUAGGGAAUAUUCGGCAAUGGACGAAAGUCUGAACGCGCAACGAGGCAUGCGUGAAGAAGGUUUUCGGAUCGUAAAACUCUGUUGGUAGGGAAGAACGUUAGUGAGAAUGGAAAGACGAUCAAGUGACGGUAACUAGCGAGAAAGGGACGGCUAACUACGUG